UGAUAAGCCAAUAACGUAAACUUCGUAAACUUUUGUCACUACCCUUGAUGUACACAGCUAUACAAAGUCCAUCGCUACAAGUCCCAUCAUUGUGUGAUGCAGAGGCUACACCCAGUGAUAAGUGUCCAAUCAAGGAUGACCGCUACCAUUGCAGUAUAUACCAAAAAAAGUACACAUAAUGACCUCAAAUGUUGACACCUGACGCAUUUUACAACUCCGCACAUAUUUUCCUAAUCUAGGGUGACACGCCUGUAAUUGUUGACACUGUCGACCGUUUACAAACUUCAACAUGGGAAUGAUUUGGAGUUAUCAUAAGUGUCAUUUUUCAUUAUUAUAUUCAUCACCAACUCAAAUGAAUCACAUAUAUUGCGCAUCUGAAAGUGAUUUAAAAUUAAUUUAACUAAUGUACAAUGAUGUAAUAUUGAUCAAAUUCAUAAUUCUCAUCCAAACAAAGAUAUUGAUCAAAAUAUUUAAAUUGAUAUUUAAAAUCAAAAAAACAUCUUUUGAUUACAUUGUAAU